GGAGGAGAAGGAGGAGGAGGAGUGAGGGAGCUAGAGAGGGAGAGAGAGAGUGCAAACAAUGUCAUUCUGUUCAGGAGGCAAUGCUGCAGUCAACUUUGCCGCGCCAUGAAGGCACAUCACAAGCGACCAUGAGGCUCAGAGUGAGUGCAGAGAAGUUUUCCUCCUCUCCGCCCCGUGUGUGAUGCGGUCCGAGACUCAUCUGAGCAGGCUCAUACACCAGGUCCGGCUGUUGGUGGCGUGUUGGAACAUGCCUUGACUUGUUGUACUGCCUGAGUGAAGCAGAGACAGACAUCCACGAGACACAGAGGAGAGAGAGAGAGAGAGAGAGAGAGAGAGAGAGAGAGAGAGAAGAGGAUUGUGGUCAACAGUUUGCCAAUGUGAAGUGACCCACCCAAUGGGAGAGCCCUGCAGCACCCGUGGACAGACUCCUGUUGAUGUCAACACCAGAGUGCACUCGCUGGAGACAAGCGUGGAUGGAGGAGCUCCACUGCUGUCCUCGCUGCUUGAGCUUUCGGCCCUGGGGGGGCUUUAGUGUGAGGCCGUUGCCUUCCAACAACCACGAAGCUGGGCACAGAAAGUGUGAGCGUCCGCAGUGCCAGACUCACAGGUGGAAGUUCCACCACAAAGACCACUCAGGGUCCUGCCGGGGGAGAGGCAGGCGGAGGGACGGACGGUUGGACGUGGCUCCUGUGGGUGUUUCUCUGGCAGUGUCUUAGCUGGUUGUUGUGAGGAGUGAGAACGAAGCAAUCAGCAAGUAUACUGCCGCAGAAAUUCUUCGCAAUAAGAGGCCCCGGGCACACAGCCGGCAAAAGGAGAAAAACGCAUAUCAGCAUUGUAGCCGUCAUGGAUCCUGCUGUUACUGUAAGUUUUUACAUGUGUGUGCUGACACUGUAGAAAUUAACUGAGGACCUGGUACAGAAUUAACUAAAGAUAGAUCAACUGAGAGCAAGGCCUAUUUGUUAACAGUCUCUACAAUAUUUACAACUGGAUCAAAGCAUCAAACUUCCACACUGUGUGUUGUACUUCUAUGAUCCUCUGCUGCCAUCUUGUGACUGAAAGCAUCGUCCCAAUAAGCUUUUGUUCAUUAAACACUGCAGCAAAUUGUAAAACCUACAUUGUUUAUCUUUUUUCAGUCUAAAAUCCCCUUCAUUCAGAAAAUAUGGCCUGGCUUACCGUGACCUCAUUUAAAAAUGCAUGUCGUUUUUGUCACUACAUUUAAUUUUUCUUUGUGAAUUAUCAUUUAUCAAGUACUUAUGUCUGGAUGCUGACAUAUUAAUAGUGAAUAUGAUUGAGUCCUAAUUUAUUAGUUGCAGCCAAAUAAUUUCUUCAUGUCAUAAAUUAUGACUGUACAAAAGGGGUAAAUAAAAGCUAAAUAAAUCAAAUUAUCCUUGUUUGUUUUCACAGUGCACACGCAUUUUGUAAUCAUGAAAAACUUGUGUUGUAUAAACCACUUUGCACUGUGUGAAAGCACUUUGAGACACUUGAAAUAAAAAUUAUGUUGCCAUGCGAACACAGAAGACCUAAUGAGUGCAGAUGAGGCAGAACGGCCUGGACGCCAGGUGCACGCUAAUUUAGGUUUUCACAGGCACACACAGCAAACGCAGACAGAGCUGAAUGUAUAGAGCGCUCCUGACUUAAGAUCCAAAGAAGCGGCUUUUGUCUACUGAAUCACAUAAUCUGUUCUUUAUUUAUUAUUAUCACUUUAUGGACAAUUUUGCGUUUUUUAAAUCUGGUAAUCGGUUGUGUGAUUGUGGUGAGAAUGCAGAUGCGUUUGCUGCAGACUGCAGGAAACAGACAACGGUGCCUCUGCAUUGCUGCAAACACAAAAAAAGAGGAUGCAGUUUUUUCUGGGCUGCAGCAAUGCAGAAGCAUUAAAAUCCUGCUCUCACACAAGGUCACCGCUUUAUGGCUUUAAGACGUUCUACACUUCAACUCCUUGGAAAACUACAAUUAUAAGGCCACCAAAGCAUUAACAGCUGCUCGACACAAAACAUUACUCAUUACUUAAAAAUGUCACAAACCCUUCCUUUAUUAUGGGGGGGGGGUUAGCCCAAUGAACUGUUUGAUAACAAGGAAAUUUACUUUGAGGCCAAAGGUGACCUCCAGCAGCACAUUUUAAUUAAAUCUGAAUUAUAAUUUAAUUUGGAAAUUCUUGAGAUAGUCCCUGUUAAGUGAGGGUGACAGUCUCAGGUUCUCAGCCUACAUGUUGGAUUGUUAGUGCAAUGUGUUAUUGUGAGCUGCCUAUCAAAACAAGAAGGAAAUAUGUGCUUCAUCUGCAUUGUUUUCCAACUGGUUAACGGCACAGGGCGGAGGAAUAUUGAGAAAUUCAUAUACGUUCUGUGGACGACCAUAGCAUUGAUAAUACAGAAAUUAGGGCUAAAAUGAUUAUUAAAUGAAUUGAUUAUUCAAUUGACACUCGAUGAAUUAUUCUAAUCAUUUACUUUACUGAACAUCACUCUGAGCUUCCAGGUCCUCAAACUGGUGGCUUUUUUUUCCGUUUCAUGUAAAUGUAAAUUUAAUAACUCUAGAAUUUGCAGCAUUUGUCAGAAAGACAUAACCCUGUGUUCUCAGAAACUGUGACAGGCAUUUUCAAUUCAUUAAUCUUAUCAGUAAUGAAAAAUAAUCAUUAGAUGCAGUUCAAAUAAUAUUUUGGGGAUGAAUAUAGGUGUUUUCAGAAGAUAUUUACAUACAAGAACAAACUAUAAUGCCCGGUGUUUAUGGCAUUAGCAAAUAAAUCUCUUUCCAGCCCACAACUCAAAAUCCUGCAGCUAGGAUUUUACUGAACAAAUUAAUAUCAGCUUAUUUCACUGAUCCUCGCAUCCAUAAACUGGCUUCCAAUUGUUUUGUUUUUUUCUAUUUUUACUUCUGUAAGUUAUUGACUGUUUUAUUAGCUUACAUUUUGUACAGUAAAGCCAUUUAAGUGUAUUGGUAAGUUUUAAUAAAGAGUGGGACAGUUGUUACAAAUGAAAAUAAAUAUUUUAAAAUAAAAUCUGAUAUGAAAUUCUG